UAAGCUAUGAUCCAGAGAUUUCCGAAUGGGGGAACCCAACAUCUUUAAUAGGAUGUUACGAUUGUGUGAAUACAUAGCACAUUCGAGGUAGACGCAGAGAACUGAAACAUCUAAGUACCUGCAGGAAGAGAAAGAAAAUUCGAUUCCCUGAGUAGCGGCGAGCGAAACGGGAAAAGCCCAAACCAGCAAGCUUGCUUGUUGGGGUUGUAGGACUCCAAUAUGGUAGUUCUUUCAGAUAGUCGAAUGACUUGGAAAAGUCAGUCAAAGAGGGUAAAAACCCCGUAGACGAAAUGUGGAAGACACCUAGGAGGAUCCUGAGUACGGCGGAACACGAGAAAUUCCGUCGGAAUCCGGGAGGACCAUCUCCCAAGGCUAAAUACUCCCUAGUGACCGAUAGUGAACCAGUACCGUGAGGGAAAGGUGAAAAGCACCCCGGAAGGGGAGUGAAAUAGAACCUGAAACCGUGUGCCUACAACAAGUCAAAGCCCGUUAAUGGGUGAUGGCGUGCCUUUUGUAGAAUGAACCGGCGAGUUACGAUUGCAUGCGAGGUUAAGUUGAAGAGACGGAGCCGCAGCGAAAGCGAGUCUGAAUAGGGCGUUUGAGUAUGUAGUCGUAGACCCGAAACCAUGUGAUCUACCCAUGUCCAGGUUGAAGGUGCGGUAAAACGCACUGGAGGACCGAACCCACGUACGUUGAAAAGUGCGGGGAUGAGGUGUGGGUAGCGGAGAAAUUCCAAACGAACUUGGAGAUAGCUGGUUCUCUCCGAAAUAGCUUUAGGGCUAGCCUCGGAAUUGAGAAUGAUGGAGGUAGAGCACUGUUUGGACUAGGGGCCCAUCUCGGGUUACCGAAUUCAGAUAAACUCCGAAUGCCAUUCAUUCAUAUCCGGGAGUCAGACUGUGAGUGAUAAGAUCCAUAGUCGAAAGGGAAACAGCCCAGACCACCAGCUAAGGUCCCAAAAUAUAUGUUAAGUGGAAAAGGAUGUGGGGUUGCACAGACAACUAGGAUGUUGGCUUAGAAGCAGCCACCAUUUAAAGAGUGCGUAAUAGCUCACUAGUCGAGUGACCCUGCGCCGAAAAUGUACCGGGGCUAAACAUAUUACCGAAGCUGUGGAGUACACCUUUAGGUGUAUUGGUAGGAGAGCGUUCUAAGGGCGUUGAAGGCAGAUCGUGAGGACUGCUGGAGCGCUUAGAAGUGAGAAUGCCGGUAUGAGUAGCGAAAGACAGGUGAGAAUCCUGUCCACCGAAUGACUAAGGUUUCCUGGGGAAGGCUCGUCCGCCCAGGGUUAGUCGGGACCUAAGCCGAGGCCGACAGGCGUAGGCGAUGGAUAACAGGUUGAUAUUCCUGUACCCGUUGUUUUUGUUUGAGCAAUGGAGGGACGCAGGAGGCUAAGGAAUGCAGACGAUCGGAAAUGUCUGUCCAAGCAGUAAGUCUGAAGAGGAGU
rnacentral:rRNA from 1 species